ACAGCGUAACAAGGUCUCCGUAGGUGAACCUGCGGAGGGAUCAUUA
rnacentral:rRNA from 1 species